rnacentral:lncRNA from 1 species
AAAGAAUUAUAGCAACACCCAGUCAACAAAAAGUUUUCAGAGCCAUGGGUAUCACAUCGUAUGCUCUAUAUCCAGUAAUUAGCUCCCAGAGCACUACCCCAGAAAUGUAAAUAUCAGGUCUCAUCGUUAAUUUCCCACUAGUGGCAUAUUCAGGGGUAUUAUAACAUUGUCUUCACAUGAUCCCAGUGGCAACAUAUGAUUAGCCCCAAGUUGUGCCAAAUAUUAUAAGCUCAAAAUCAUAAAUAUUGCAGCAAACUGUCACUCUCCUCAUUCAGAGUUCUUUCUGAGCUCAGUCUUGUAUCAACUGUGUCG